rnacentral:misc_RNA from 1 species
UUUCAUUUCAUAAAGAAAUGUCUUUCGGCUUUUUCUAUUUUUAUGUCCAAACGAGAAAAUUGAGAUUCUCUCUUCGUUUCGGUAAAUCUUUUUCCUUUCUUUUCUCUGCUUCUUUCCUCCACCCAGUCAAUUGUCUCUUUUUCUCCCUAUUUCUCUAUUUCUAAGGGCAUUACAGGUCUGAUAUGGAAUGGUUACACUCAACAUGUAUAUGAUUCUUGGGGUCUGAAUGUCCCUUUGUAUCACUGGAAGCUAAAUUUGUUUGUUUUAGCGUUCAUUUUAAGUUCUUACCCGUCUUCCUUGAUGAACAUUUCUGUGGUUGGAUAUGAAGGUCUGGUACUCUCUGUUGGAGGAAAUGGAAGA